GAUGAACGCUGGCGGCGUGCCUAAUACAUGCAAGUCGAGCGAACGGACGAGAAGCUUGCUUCUCUGAUGUUAGCGGCGGACGGGUGAGUAACACGUGGAUAACCUACCUAUAAGACUGGGAUAACUUCGGGAAACCGUAGCUAAUACCGGAUAAUAUUUUGAACCGCAUGGUUCAAAAGUGAAAGACGGUCUUGCUGUCACUUAUAGAUGGAUCCGCGCUGCAUUAGCUAGUUGGUAAGGGAACGGCUUACCAAGGCAACGAUGCAUAGCCGACCUGAGAGGGUGAUCGGCCACACUGGAAGUGAGACACGGUCCAGACUCCUACGGGAGGCAGCAGUAGGGAAUCUUCCGGAAUGGGCGAAAGCCUGACGGAGCAACGCCGCGUGAGUGAUGAAGGUGUUCGGAUCGGAAAACGAUGUUAUUAGGGAAGAACAUAUGUGUAAGUAACUGUGCACAUCUUGACGGUACCUAAUCAGAAAGCCACGGCUAACUACGUG
rnacentral:rRNA from 1 species